ACAAAUUUACAAUGAGUGAACAAAUGUACAAGUUUUUUAACAAAUUUACAAUGAGCGAACAAAUUACACGUUUUAAAACAAAUUUACAUUUAUUACGGAAAGGGUAGGUACAAUACGCUGACGUCACGCAUCCGAGCCUCCGGUGGAAAGAAACCCGGAAGUAUCGCCGUGAAUCACAUGAGAGUUGAAUGCGAUGUUGUGUAUUAGGCUCUACAUACUAUUAACGUAAAGAGAGUGAUAAUAUAUAACCUUUCAUCGCUUCCGAAGUGACUUAAAGGGAUAUUGGACCUUAUUUUCAGAUUACAGACAACACGAGAGGGUGCUUCAGACUUUUUAAUCAGGACUGCAUUGUUCGUUCGCUUCCGGGGUUUCAUAGACUGAAACGGGGAAGCGUGACGAGUUUGUUUACAUGGCCACGGUAGUAAUGCCUCAAAAGAAGUGCACAGCUUCCCCUGACUGUUUCGGAAUAAGAUUCAAGAGUGUCGAAAACAGUGCCAUCUGCUGGUUAAAAGGACAUAUAGAAGUUGCUUCUGGAAGAAGCAACCAGCUAAAUUCAGAUUAAUUUUAAUGUUAUGUGUACAAAUAAAGCAACAUGUUACAACAUGUGUGUGAAUGGGUAAAUUAAAUAAUUAUAUUGAACAUUCAAGUGUGGCAAUACAUUUCAGUAUGAGUUAAUAUUCGAUACUGUAUCGUACAGAACAAUGUUUACACACACAUAAUCACACACACAAAAGAAGUAUAUAUAUGUACAUACAAUACUAUCUAUACAGUACUAUGUGGGACUAGAAUGUGAAUAGGGCAAAUAACACGCAGGUUUCUGACACGCAAAGCAUGCACUUGACUGAGCAGAAAGUGAAGCUUUGUUGUUAUUGGUCACAUGAUUUCUACAUUAACAACACAAGCUUCCAAUCCAGGCUUCAUCCGGCACGCCCAUUUUUUGCUUGCUCGACAAAUGUCACAUCAUUAAAAUGAAC